rnacentral:rRNA from 1 species
GAGUAAAGAUUUCGGUCGCUUUGGGAGGAGCUCGCUUACUAUCAGCUUGUUGGUAGGGUAAUGGCCUACCAAGGCUAUGACGGUUAGGGGGUGUGAGAGCAUGACCCCCAGCAUUGGCACUGAAACACUGGCCAAACACCUACGGGUGGCUGCAGUCGAGAAUCUUCCACAAUGGGGGAAACCCUGAUGGAGCGAUGCUGCGUGCGGGAUGAAGGCCUUCGGGUUGUAAACCGCUUUUGUAGGGGACGAAAUUUUUGACGGUACCCUUUCGAAUAAGAGGUUGCUAACUCUGUGCCAGCAGCAGCGGUAAUACAGAGACCUCAAGCGUUAUCCGGAUUUACUGGGCGUAAAGCGUCUGUAGGGGGUUUAUUAAGUUCCAAGUAAAAUUUCAAGGCUCAACUUUGAAUUCGUUUGGAAAACUAAUAAACUGGAGUCUAGCAGAGGUGCAUGGAACUUGUGGUGUAGGAGUGAAAUCCGUUGAUAUCACAAGGAACACCAAAGGUGAAGGCAUUGCACUGGGCUAGCACUGACCCUGAGAGACGAAAGCGUGGGGAGCAAAACGGAUUAGAUACCCGUGUAGUCCACGCCCUAAACGAUGAAUGCUAAAUGUUCGGGGAUUCGACCCCCUGGGUGUUACAGCUAACGCGUUAAGCAUUCCGCCUGGGAAGUACGGCCGCAAGGCUAAAACUCAAAGGAAUAGACGGGGAUCCGCACAAGCGGUGGAGCGUCUGGUUUAAUUCGACAGUAAGCGUGGUACCUCACCAGGGUUUGACAUCCCUUGACAGCCUUGGAAACAAGGUUUCCUUCGGGCAAGGUGACAGGUGCUGCAUGGUCGUCGUCAGUUCGUGCCGUGAGGUGUUCCGUUAAGUCGGGAAACGAACGAAACCCCUAUUGCAUGUUACAAUUUCUCAUGCAAGACUGCCCGGAUAUACUGGGAGGAAGGUGGGGAUGACGUCAGAUCUGCAUGGUCCUUAUACCCUGGGCGACACAGGCGCUACAAUGGCAGAGACAAAGGGUUGCAAAACCGCAAGGUGAAGCUAAUCCCAAAAACUUUGUCUAAGUUCGGAUUGAAGGCUGCAAUUCGCCUUCAUGAAGCUGGAAUCGCUAGUAAUCGUGAAUCAGCCACGUCACGGUGAAUAUGUUCCCGGAUCUUGUACUCACCGCCCGUCACACCAAGAGAGUUGGUAGCUCCCGAAG